rnacentral:rRNA from 1 species
GCUAAGAAUCUUCCGCAAUGGGGGGAACCCUGACGGAGCGACGCCGCGUGGACGAUGAAGGCCGUAAGGUUGUAAAGUCCUUUUGCGGGCGAAGAAUAAGGAAGGGAGUGGAAAGCCCUUCUGAUGACGUUAGCCCGCGAAUAAGCCCCGGCCAAUUACGUGCCAGCAGCCGCGGUAAUACGUAUGGGGCGAGCGUUGUUCGGAGUUAUUGGGCGUAAAGGGCGUGUAGGCGGCCCGACAAGUCUGGUGUGAAAUCGCAGGGCUCAACCCUGCGGGUGCGCUGGAAACUGACGGGCUAGAGUUCCGGGGGGGAAGCUGGAAUUCCUGGUGUAGGAGUGAAAUCUGUAGAGAUCAGGAAGAACACCGGUGGCGAAGGCGAGCUUCUAUUCGAGGACUGACGCUGAGGCGCGAAAGCGUGGGGAGCAAACAGGAUUAGAAACCCUAGUAGUCC